AUCAGAUUGAACUAAACUUAUUGGAACAUGGUUCAAAGAUAACACUAGUGUGAUUGUGCUGCAAAUAACCAGUAGAGAAGAGCCUAUAAAUCUAAGACUGAAACUAUUUGAUAUAACCUCUUGGGCAAAGUUAAAAGGAAAUUAUGAAAAUAGAAGUACACAGAAUUAUGAGGCUUCCUGAGAGCUUAGGAGACAAUGGGCCUCAUACAAAGCCAUUUGAAGCCAAUGAAAAGAUCAGGGUCACCUUUGCCAUGAAGACCCAGAAAGCUGUGGAAGCAACUGGAAAAGAGGUCACCAGUGCCAUGUUUCUAGCCAACUCCCUGAACCACCAGCAACAGCUCCAUUGAUCAUCAGUGGUCCAUGUACCACAUUCUGGAAACUGGCUGUUCUACAUGGUAAAGAAAAGAAGCUACACCGAUAAAAGGAGGCCUAUCUUGAUCAUUUAAAACUUAAUGUAGCAGUAUAACAUGCAGUUAUGGACCAUAUAGAAAGGAAUCAUUGGCACAUGUUACAGGUAUAACAAGUGAACCAAUAUAUUCUUAGUGUAUUGGAUACACACCCACUCAGAACUCAUUUUACUCAGCACAAGAACAUCUAUGUCCAUAAUUACACACAUAUAUGUGCCUUUCCUGAGUUUUGCAGGUCAUCCCAAACUCUUGCUGAUAAAGCCUUUACACCACACUGUCAUGUAUUCCAAAUGAUAUAAGUAUGAUUAUUAUAUUUGGAGAGGGAGAUCUUUUGAAAACUAUUUCAACCAGCAAGACUGUGAUAGUGAAGAGUAUUAUCAAGUCAAUUGAAAUAGGAUCAAAGAAAACAUGGCAGUGACUGAAAUGAAAUUAAAUCUAAAAGUACAUCUAAGGAAUUCCUCUUCUUUCCCAGUUAUCAAUUUUUGAUGGCUGGAUAUUGACCCUUGUUUACUGUGGCCUCAGAUUCUUAGGCUACCCUGACCAUAAACAAUGCAAAAUUGUACAAUAUGAAGAGAAUAGAAUAGAGCUAUUCAAGUAGCAUAAAUCCUACUUGACACUUCCUCAAGUGGCAACUAUGAAAACUAAAGACAUGCCAAUUCACCUUGCUGUUCAAAUUGAAAUGUACAUUCUUCACUGCUCAAAUGUGGACUUAAAGUAUAUUAUUUUUUCCUAUAGUUUCAAGAAAAGCUU